CACGUAGGGCGCAAGCGUUGUCCGGAAUUAUUGGGCGUAAGGAGCUCGUAGGCGGUCUGUCGCGUCGAUCGUGAAAACUUGGGGCUUAACCCUGAGCUUGCGGUCGAUACGGGCAUGACUGGAGUUCGGCAGGGGAGACUGGAUUCCUGGUGUAGCGGUGAAAUGCGCAGAUAUCAGGAGGAACACCGGUGGCGAAGGCGGGUCUCUGGGCCCGAUACUGACGCUGAGGAGCGAAAGUGUGGGGAGCGAACAGG
rnacentral:rRNA from 1 species